GACAGAGGUGCCGAGCGUUAGGCGGAAUCACUGGGCUUAAAGCGUGUGUAGGCGAACCGUUAAGUACCUUGUGAAAUCCCACGGCUCACCCGUGGAACGGCUGGGUAUACUGGCGGUCUUGGGCCACCUAGGGGCAGAUGGAACAGACGGUGGAGCGGUGAAAUGCGUAGAUAUCGUCUGGAACGCCAAAGGUGAAAACAGUCUGCUGGGGGUGUGACCGACGCUGGAGACACGAAAGCCAGGGAGCGAACGGG
rnacentral:rRNA from 1 species